GAUGAACGCUGGCGGCAUGCCUAAUACAUGCAAGUCGAACGAGAGGAAGGAAAGCUUGCUUUUCUGAAUCUAGUGGCGAACGGGUGAGUAACACGUAGGUAACCUGCCCAUGUGCCCGGGAUAACUUCUGGAAACGGAUGCUAAAACCGGAUAGGUAGCAGACAAGCAUUUGACUGCUAUUAAAGUGGCUAAGGCCAUGAACAUGGAUGGACCUGCGGUGCAUUAGCUAGUUGGUGAGGUAACGGCCCACCAAGGCGACGAUGCAUAGCCGGCCUGAGAGGGCGGACGGCCACAUUGGGACUGAGACACGGCCCAAACUCCUACGGGAGGCAGCAGUAGGGAAUUUUCGUCAAUGGGGGGAACCUUGAACGAGCAAUGCCGCGUGAGUGAAGAAGGUCUUCGGAUCGUAAAGCUCUGUUGUAAGAGAAAAACGACAUUCAUAGGGAAUGAUGAGUGAGUGAUGGUAUCU
rnacentral:rRNA from 1 species